GACUACGCCCCCACACUUGGCCCCGCCCCCGUUUCGGCCCCGCCCAGAUCCGCCUCCAUCGCAGCCAGAAGCAAGAAGCUGUCUUCCCGCCCCCGCGUGCCUACAAUCAGCCCCAGUCUCCCUGGGAAACCGACGAGCGCACCUGAGCUGGGUUCUGAGCUCCAGCGUUUUGGGGCUAGAAGUUGCGGACUAGUAGCUGAGGCGGCACGGGAGUGUAGGCGCGCGGGGUCGUUGCCGGGGGCACAGAGUGAGAACAAGCAAGGGAGCCCUGCUGAAUUGCAGCUUAGGAAGCCCUGAAUCCUGGAGACGGAGUUUUGCUCUUGUUGCCCAGGCUGGAGUCCAAUGAUGCGAUCUCGGCUCACCGCAACCUCCGCCUUCAGGGUUCAAGCAAUUCUCCUGCCUCAGCCUCCCGAGUAGCUGGGAUUACAGGCAUGUACCACCACGCGCGGCUAAUUUUGUAUUUUUAGUAGAGACAGGGUUUCUCCAUGUUGGUCAGGGUGGUCUCGAACUCCCAAUUUCAGGUGAUCCACCCACCUUGGCCUCCCAAAGUGCUGGGAAUUGCAGGUGUGAGCCACCGCUCCUGGCCUAAGAAAAUUUUUAAGAAAGAAAUUUUCCACAUUGGGUGGAAGACAUGGCUGAUUACAUACUCACAUGUAGGUACAUAGACUUUUUUUUUAAUAUAAGGUGUUUUCUAUACCAACAUGUAUUGCUGUUAUAUUGGGGAAAUAUAAUAAAUUAAUUUCAGAAGUGGUUACCGACUGACAAAUGGAGUAUUCACCUAAUUCAAAAUGCAACCUGUGACCUAUGUUAAGAAGCUGUAAAAGGUGAUGUGAGAAGGUGGCUUUUCUUGAAAUUAUGUUGCUUCUACAAACAAGUAUAACCAAUAUUUGUGACGACUUCAUAGGAUCUUCUUACCUCAUUUCCAACAGACAACAAAAUACCUACCAAAACAACAACAAAACACCAAGCUCUGGUCCUUCACUGAGGGAAGUUUACAAACUCACAGACCUAGUGCCUAUUCAAUUUAUUGUUAUCUAUUCAAAUCUAACCUAUCUUCAAUUAUAUGUUCCACUCAAAAGAAAGGAAAAGAGCUGCUAAUAAAACUAUGACAAUA